CGUGGUGGGGUUCCCGAGCGGCCAAAGGGAGCAGACUGUAAAUCUGCCGUCAUCGACUUCGAAGGUUCGAAUCCUUCCCCGCAUGG
rnacentral:tRNA from 1 species